rnacentral:rRNA from 1 species
UACGUAGGGUGCGAGCGUUAAUCGGAAUUACUGGGCGUAAAGCGUGCGCAGGCGGUUUUGUAAGCCAGAUGUGAAAUCCCCGGGCUUAACCUGGGAAUGGCAUUUGGGACUGCAAGGCUUGAGUGCGGCAGAGGAGACUGGAAUUCCUGGUGUAGCAGUGAAAUGCGUAGAUAUCAGGAGGAACACCGAUGGCGAAGGCAGGUCUCUGGGCUGACACUGACGCUCAUGCACGAAAGCCAGGGGAGCAAACGGG